rnacentral:SRP_RNA from 1 species
GCCGGGCAUAGUGGCGCAUGCCUGUAAUCCCAGCUACUUGGGAGGCUGAGGCAGGAGAAUCACUUGAACCCGGGAAGCGGAGGUUGCAGUGAGCUGAGAUCAUACCACUGCACUCCAGCCUGGGUGACAGAGCGAGACUCUGUCUCAA